CCCCCUCUACAUCUCUAUCAGACCCGUCUCUCUGUUCUAGGGUUCGAAGUUAGAUUCCGAUCAUAUCGCUUCUCCAUUUCGAGUUUCUCACCCACUCUCUAUAUUGUCUUCAUCUAAAUUUUCCAUUUUCUUUUGGUCUUCAAAAAUAUCUGAUUAGUUGUAGGGUUACGAAUUUUUUGUUUUCCAGUUCGCAUCUGCAUGCGAUUCGAAUUUGAAGGUGUUUGGCUUCCUAUUUUGUGUAUUGUGGUUUAAAUUAAUGGGGGCGCGAUAGAAGUUUCAUUGCUUGAAGACUCCAUCAAUUGAGCGUCGGAUGUUUGCUUCCAGUAUGGAUACUGUGAGGGACACAACUAGAACUGCGGGAACAAUGUUAAUCCCAAUGCGUUUUGUCUGGCCGUACGGCGGAAGAAGUGUAUUUCUCAGUGGCUCUUUCACCAGGUGGUCGGAGCUUGUUCCUAUGACGCCUAUGGAGGGCUGUCCUACUGUUUUUCAGGCUAUUUACAGCUUAACCCCUGGAUAUCACCAGUAUAAAUUUUUUGUUGAUGGAGAAUGGCGACAUGACGAGCAGCAGACUUGUACUCCUGGUGAAUAUGGGAUAGUGAACACUGUUCGCUUGCCUACAGAGCCUAGCUAUGCUGCUCCACCUGCCAAUCCAGAGAUGACCCCUGGAUCUAGCAUGGAUGUGGAUAAUGAUACAUUCCGACGCCUGGUCCGAAUAAAUGAUGGAUGGCUGUCAGAGGCUGUGCAUAGUGUAUCAGAGGCUGAUCUGCAGUGCUCCCGUCACCGAAUAUCUGCAUUCUUGUCCACACAUACUGUUUACGAGUUGCUCCCAGAGUCGGGCAAGGUUGUUGCUUUAGACAUUGACUUGCCUGUGAAGCAAGCUUUUCACAUAUUGCAUGAGCAGCUUGGGAAGCGUGGCUCAAACCUGACAGAGGAAGAGCUUGAAACACAUACUAUAUCUGCUUGGAAAGAGGGUAAAGCAUAUUUGAACGGUCAAGUGGAUGGGCAAGGAAGAUUCUUGUCAAGACAGUUCAUUCACGCUGAACCAUUCGAUAAUUUGAAGGAUGUUGCUUUAAAGAUAUUGCAAAACCAGGUGGCUACAGUUCCCAUAAUCCAUUCAUCUGCAGAAGAUGGUUCAUUUCCACAGUUGUUGCAUCUUGCUUCACUUUCUGGAAUUCUAAAAUGUAUCUGCAGGUACUUUAGGCAUUGUUCCAGCCUGUUGCCUGUGCUUCAACUACCAAUUUUUGCGAUUCCAGUAGGCACAUGGGUCCCAAAAAUUGGAGAAUCGAAUAGAAAGCCAUUAGCUAUGUUGAGACCUAGUGCUUCUCUUAGCUCAGCGUUAAACUUACUGAUUCAAGCUCAAGUUAGUUCAAUACCCAUAGUUGACGACAAUGAUUCAUUGCUGGAUGUAUAUUGCCGAAGCGAUAUAACAGCUCUUGCAAAGGAUAGAGCUUACACACACAUCAAUCUUGAUGAAAUGACCAUUCAUCAGGCAUUGCAACUUGGACAAGAUUCUUUUUCCCUUUAUGAGCCACGGAGUCAACGAUGUCAGAUGUGUUUGCAUUCCGACUCGUUGCAUAAAGUGAUGGAUCGCUUGGCUAACCCAGGUGUUCGACGGCUUGUAAUUGUGGAAGCUGGCAGCAAACGGGUAGAAGGGAUAAUUUCACUAAGCGACAUAUUCAAGUUCUUGCUUGGUUAAGUUAGUUCGAAGACAUGACGUAAAAAAGGAUCCAGAGGGGUUUGUGCAAAAGAAGAUGCAUAGAGGAAGAUUGUACACUAUCAUCUGCAUAGGUUGUGCUAGUGAUGGGGAAGGAGACUUUGAGUUCUUCAUUUGGUUGGAUUUAUCCUCUCACUUCCAUCGCCUGGCUUUUGAAGGAUUUUAGGGCGGAGUGGAGAAAAAGAGAGGGCCACAGUAAAAAAGAUAAAAGAAAAAAAGUAAAAAAAGUAAAAAAAGUACAAUUGGGAGGGAUUUGAAUAGCUUUCGAAUUUCUCAAACUCCCCCUUUUCCAUUUAUCAUUAUUUAUCAGUUUAUUAUGCUCUGCCUUUCCUGCUACUAAUGUAGAUUAUUGGGAGAUGAUGAUGAUGAUGAUGGGGAUUAUGGGGAUUGUUACCAAGCUCUGUUCUUUCAUGCGUGAAAAAAGGGAGCAUUGUGCAGAGAGGGGAAUUGGGAAGGAGGGGAGGGGGCGGGAAUUCUGUGCUUUUUAUUAACACGUCAUUGACUUUUGUAUUUCAUUUUUUUUUUUUCCCUUUUUCCUUUUGGAUUGAAAAUCUUAUUGUAAUCUUGAAAUUAAAGAGAGCUAAGGCAAUUGACUCGUAGCAGCAUCCCCAUUAAACAA